UGUUAUGCUAUUAUUGCAUACCAUUCCCAAUGAAGAAAUUGACGUCCCAAGGAUCCUAUUUAUAAAGGGUGAGGCUUGUGGGGGUGAAGUGUAGUGUACUAAACCUUCCAACUUUAUGAAUAGAAGCAUCAUUUGCUGUCGCUAGCCUAUCAUUGACCAUUGGCUCUAGCGUCAAUGACAAAAUUUUAAUAGAAUCAUUUUUGCUUGCCUGUCGCUAGCUUGUUGCUCAAGCGACGGCCACGUUGCUCAAGUGAUAGGCAAACGAUGUAGUUAGGCAAAAAUUUAGGCUAAUUUUUCCUCUAUUUUUCUUUCAACUUUAGACCGCAAUUUCUCAUUCAUCCGGGAUUGAUUUUGAGCUUUCAAAUAUACCACGAUGAUCUGCUCGACAAGUAGAAUACAUUAAUCUCUUUGCAUUAGUAAUUUGACAUCGGAUCAAGUCCGAAUAUUUGACUGAAAUUGAUGCAAAAGUCACCUUUUCCAUUUUUAUUCUUAACCAAUUCCUACAGAAUGUGUUUAAUAAUUUAUCGAUAUAUUCAAUGAACUUGUGAAUAAAAUGAAGUCAUAUGGUGAGAAGGUUUCAAAUGAAAAAAUGGGGGAAAAAGUCAGAUUAGCUUGUCAAAAAAAUUUGUCCUCUUUUGGUUGUGAUUGGAGAAACAAAAGAUUUAAAGUUGGAGGUGGAAGAAUUCAUGGGUUUUUUUGAAAGCAUUCGAGCAGAGAUUAAUUUGAUGUUCCGAAAAGUCAAUUGAGAGUGCUUCUCAGUCAAAACUUAAUGUUAGUUUUAAGAAUGUUAAAAAACGACAAUAUGUUUGUGAAAACAUGAGUAGAGGUGGAAGAAGUACUAGAGGAAGAGGAAGGAGUCCAAAAGGUUGAGGUAGAAGUAACUUUGAAAUGAGUUUUAAUGAAGAAGAUUGAUCACAAAGUGUAAAAUUUGCAAGAGAAACAAUCAUGAUGAAAAAGAUUGUUGGUUCAAAUGGAAGCCACAAUGUCACAAUUGUAGAAGUUUGGACAUUUAAAAAGGGACCGUAGAGUGAAGAACACCCAACAAGCUAAUUGUGCAACUAGGAAGGAGAAUAAAUCAAACUUAUUUUAUGUAUUUUCGAGUGCAUACGAAUCAAGAUAUGAUUCAUGCUUCUCAAGUUCAAAUUUCUCCAAGUAAGAAGAAACUUAAUGAUUUUUGGAUAGUGGAUGCACCAAUCAUAUGACAUCAAAUGGAAAUAUCUUCAUUGAUAUGGAGAAUACAAAUUCAAAAGUAAGAUUGGAAAAAUAGAGAUUUAGUAGAAGUGAAAGGAAAAAGAGUAAUUGGAGUUGAAGCAAAAAAGGGUUCAAGACUUAUUUGAGAUGUCAUGCAUGUGUUGGAUUUGGAUCAAAAUUUACCAAGUGUUGGAUAGCUUCAAGAGAAUGGUUAUUCUCUAUAUUUUGAAGAUGAUGCUUGUGUUAUUAACGAUAAAAGAGCUGGGAAUUUGUUCAUAACAAGGCUGAAAAAGAAGAAUAGAAGUUUCCCCCUAAACUUCAAACAUUUGAUUGACAAAGCUUAUCGAAUGGUGGUUAAUGACUCAUGGUUAUUGCACAAAAGGCUUGGUCAUUUGAACUUUCAAGGGCUGAAAUUGUUACAGCAGAAAAACAUGAUGCACGGGCUUCUAAAGAUUGAUGAAAAUUUUGAAAUUUGUAAAGGAUGUACUCUCGGAAACAUGACUUGCAACCAUUUUCGAAAGGAUUAGCUUGAAGAGUGAAAAGGCCACUUGAAUUGGUACAUACAGACGUAUGUGGAUCGAUGCGUACACCAUCCCAAUUCCAAAAUAAGUACUUCAUUCUCUUUAUUGAUGAUUUUACAAGAAUGAAUUGGGGUUUAUUUUAUGAGAUAAAAUCGUGAAGUUUUUACAAUCUAUAAAAAAUUCAAGAUUUUUGUUGAGAAACAAAGCGGCUAUUUCAUAAAAGUUUUGAGAAGUGAUAAUGGUGAGGAAUAGACUUCAAAAGAAUUUGAUAAGUUUUGUCAAGAUGAAGGUGUUGAAAGGCGGGUAGCGGUUGGAUUACUCCACAACAUAAUGGGGUAUCGGAGAGGAAAAAUCAAAUCGUGAUGGAGAUGGUAAAGGCUAUGUUACAUGCUGGAAAGCUUUCAAAAGUUUUUGGGGGGCAGAAGUGGUAUAUAUUGCGGUUCAUUUAGUUAACACGUGUCCAACAAAAGCAAUGCGGACCAAAAUGCCAAUAGAAGCUUGGAAUGACAGAAAUACAUUGGUGAAGCACUUGAAAGUGUUCGGGUGUAUUUGUUAAACUCAACUACCAAAAGAGAAGUGGCACAAGCUCGAUGAGGCAAGUGAAAAGUGUAUUUUCACUGGCUAUAACUCACAAUCUAAGGUCCAUAAACUAUACAACUUGAAGAUCAAGAAAGUGAUCGUUAGCCAUGAUGUGUUGUUUGAUGAGAAUGCUACAUGGAAUUGGAAAAAUGAAGAAGUUGAAAGAAAUGUUGCUGUCCAAUAACUUUGCCUCAAAAUUCAACCAAUGAUAAUGUGGAAAAUGAAGAAAAUGAAAGUCAACCAAGCUCAUCACCACAUCACUAAGUAGUCCAUCAAGUUCUUCUAGCUCAACUUCAUCAUCGCCAAGCUCAACUCCAAGAAAAAUGCGGUAUUUGAAUGGUUUAUGCAAGAUGCAACUUUUCUAUAAUUGAACUCGAAAAUUUUGAAGAAGCCAUGAAGGGUGAGUGUUGGAAAAAGGCAAUGGAGGAAGAAAUAGAAGUAAUUGAGAAAAGCAAAACUUGGAAGCUAGUUGGAAAGCCAAAAAAGAAAAAUGCGAUAGGAAUGAAAUAGGUCUACAAGGUGAAGCAUAAUUCGGAUGGAUCAAUCAAGAGAAACAAAACAAGAUUAGUUCUCAAAGGUUAUGCACAACAGUCCUGGAUCGACUAUGAUGAAACUUUUGUAUUGCUUGCACGCUUAGACACUAGAAGAGCAUUAUAGCUCUUGCAACACAAAAAUGUUGAUUUGUACCAAUUUGAUGUUAAAUCAGCAUUUUUAAAUGGAGAACUAAAAGAAGAGGUGUAUGUUGAACAUCAAGGUUUUGUUGCAAAAGGAGAAGAAGACAAAGUAUAUAAACUAAAAAAAAUGCUUUGUAUGGGCUCAAACAAGCACCGAGGUCAUGUUAUAGUCAAAUUGAUAGCUAUGUUCAACACGAAUUUCUCAAAAGCAAAAGUGAG
rnacentral:lncRNA from 1 species